UACGUAGGGGGCAAGCGUUGUCCGGAUUUAUUGGGCGUAAAGAGCGUGUAGGCGGCCAGAUAGGUCCGUUGUGAAAACUCGAGGCUCAACCUCGAGACGCCGAUGGAAACCAUUUGGCUAGAGUCCGGAAGAGGAGAGUGGAAUUCCCGGUGUAGCGGUGAAAUGCGCAGAUAUCGGGAAGAACACCGGUGGCGAAGGCGGGUCUCUGGGCCGAAAUUGACGCUGAGGAGCGAAAGCGUGGGGAGCAAACAGG
rnacentral:rRNA from 1 species